UACGAAGGGUGCAAGCGUUACUCGGAAUUACUGGGCGUAAAGCGUGCGUAGGUGGUUUGUUAAGUCUGAUGUGAAAGCCCUGGGCUCAACCUGGGAAUUGCAUUGGAUACUGGCAGGCUAGAGUGCGGUAGAGGAUGGCGGAAUUCCCGGUGUAGCAGUGAAAUGCGUAGAGAUCCGGAAGAACACCGGUGGCGAAGGCGGCCUGCUGGGCAGUAGCUGACGCUGAGACGCGAAAGCGUGGGGAGCGAACAGG
rnacentral:rRNA from 1 species